UACGUAGGGGGCAAGCGUUGUCCGGAUUUACUGGGCGUAAAGAGCGUGUAGGCGGCCAGGCAGGUCUGUUGUGGAAACUGGAGGCUUAACCUCCAGACGUCGACAGAAACCGUCUGGCUAGAGUCCGGAAGAGGAGAGUGGAAUUCCUGGUGUAGCGGUGAAAUGCGCAGAUAUCGGGAGGAACACCUAUGGCGAAGGCAGCUCGCUGGGACGUUACUGACGCUGAGACGCGAAAGCGUGGGGAGCGAACAGG
rnacentral:rRNA from 1 species